GUGAACAAGCCCUUAUCCUCAAAUACGACUGUGAACAAGGGCGUAUUCUCUGACGCAACAGUGAACAAGGAAGGCGAUAAUCCGCUAAUAAAUGAAGGAAUUGGUUCAACAAGCAGUAUAUCAGAGUACUUGAUGGAGACGCUGCCAGGCUGGCAUGUCGAAGACCUUCUUGAUUUCCCUUCUACUCCCUUUGGUUUCUGUAAGCCUGAUGAUGGGAUAUUGCCGUUUGUGGGUAAUGACCUUGGGAGCAAUAUUACCCCUUUCUCUUCGGAAACCAUGGGAAUCUGGGUCCCUAAAGCGCCAACUCCUCUAUACCCAUCUCAACAUUAUCCACAGAUGGGAGAGCAAAUUGGGUUAAAGGAGACAAAAGAGACCACGAACAUGAAAGGUAACAACAGAAGGUGGGCUGAUGAUGCAUUUACUGUUCCACAGAUCAGCCCUCCCUCCUCUGGCUCCAAGAGAUCUAUUUCGUUCCGGUAGAACAAAAUUGACAUGCUCUUACGCGAGUACUAUCAAGAACAAGGCCUAAUGCUUUGUAUUUUUGAAAUGUUUUGUUAAUCGAGUAUCUACGGAUCUGGUUUGAAUCGUGCAUUUCUACCCCUCUGGCUUUUUGUACUUGAUCCAAUUGGAUUUUGUUUCUGUUUUUCGCUUGUACUUGCAAAGUGUAGACGUCUUUUGUAUAUAUGAAUGAAUGAGCUUUUUUCCAAAAGACGUCUACACUUUGCAAGUACAA
rnacentral:misc_RNA from 1 species